CUCAUUUUCUUCGGGAUGGGCGUGGAUGGAGAGGUGAGUGAGGGUGAUGGUGAGGCGGCGACAGGGCGGGGGUAGGGGAGGGGGGAGGGAGGAGUAUGGACAGAGAGAUGGGCGAGGGCAAGUGUCGGAGGGCGAGGCGGCGCGGCCGAGGUUGGUGAAGAAGGAUGAGAGUUUCAGGAGUAUUUUUUGGUAUAAAAAAUUCUAACAGAAUACUAAUGACAGGAUCAAAAUAAAUAUUUUUUAUUUUAUAAAGGGACAAAGUGUAAAGUUUUGAAUAAUAUGAGAGAAAGUAAAAAUGCCAAUAUUGACAGAAAAAUUUUCUGUAAUUUAGCCAAAAGAAAAGUUUAAAGUUGAAGUAAGCUAAUACUUCGAUAAUACUAAUGUAUUGAAAAUCGAGUCAAAUAGUGACUCAUAAAGGUUAAUUGGCCAUUGGUUACUGGUUCACUCAGUGGAUCAAUUACUAGUAGAAUCAUUGACGUCUGUAUAAUAUCAUAAAUAUUUAAUUUUAUUAUAUAAAAAAAUAUAUUUUUAAAUUUAAAUUUUAUACUUAAUAAUAAAAUACUAAUUUCGAAACCAAAUUAAGUAGAUAUAAAGUUUUAACUGUUACUUUUUACAAGUUAAUUUGUGGUAAUUAAAAUAAAAUUAUCUAAGGCUUCGUUUGGGAUUGCAGGGAGAUUGCGUUACGUGCGGUGAGAAAAUACGUUGAAAAAUACCCUGUUUGUUUCCGUACGUAAUAUUGCGUUCCGUAUAUCGCGAUGAAGCGGUUACGAUAUAUUUUCUGCGGUCCCACCGAAGAACGCAGAAGCAUAUCCCUAUAUGCUUUUUCCACAACUCCAUUUUAUUUAAUAGCGUUAGUGCGUUACAUAGACCUUAAUACCAAACUAAGCCUAAGUCGACUUUAAAUGUUCGUUUCUAAUAUGACUUCACAGAAAAAAAAAAAAAAAGAAAGAAUAAUUUCAUCAAUACCCCUCUAGGAGACAAUAAUUAUAUGAAUGCCCCUCCAAAUUUGAAAAUAUCAUUAACACCCUUCUAAAAACCAAACAAAUACCAUUUUAAGGUUAAUAUUCCGUCAAAAAAUCCUCAAAUAUUCUGUAAAUACCAUUUUACC
rnacentral:lncRNA from 1 species